AAAACUCAAUCGGCUUGUUAGCAGAUUUUUAAACUCACGAAUAUCAAUGCAAUAUCGGCCUCAAAAAUCGAGCAUCAUUUAAGCCCUAAUAUGGAGUUCACAUUAAUAUAAUCUAUGUGCAACAUGAAAGAAACUGUGCAAAUGAAUGCAAUGAUUAAUGUCCAUAACUGUUAAUAUUAUAUAGCCUAUUAUAUUGGAAAAGAGCUGUUGUGCAUUGUGUUCUAUUUGUUUCUGAUUUACUACACUCUCACGGCUGCAGUGCGAUGUGAUAUAUCCUGCAGAUGCCGCCGUUCUUUUCUGUCUCAGGCUGAGGUCCCAGGUUGGAGCUGCUGCUGGUCUACAUGUCACUGUGGUGAAACCUCAGGAAAUGUCACAUGCCACAUUGCGCCAUUUAAGCUGUUUACAGCACUACAAGUGGCGUAUAAGGACUUGUUGACGUGUUGCAAACACUGAGCAACUUAAGUGGACAAAUACACAGGAAAUAACGAUUCCGGAGGUAUGCAACACAGCAAACGGAAGAACAUUUUUUGGAGAUGACACAUUUUUAGGGCUGUGUAAGUAAGUCAACAGAGUCAACAGACCUGAAGUAGACCAAUCACUCCCAGCAACAACCCUGUCUCCUAAAAAGUACAGUACAUUUAUAUACUACCGAUUUGCAACAGCAAAAACAUUUCGAAAGAAACAUGUUGCUGCCUGGUUUAUAUUUUUAAUAAUAAGGAAACGUUUUUAAUUAUAGUAUCUGCAAAACCUUCACUGUUAACGUAUUGCAUUUGUUUUUCCAACAACAUCCACUCGUGGCAGCUACAGAAAGUUUUUAUGUUUGGGCACUUGGUUAAGGUGAGGGAAAUAGGUGAUCAAAUGACCAUGUAGAAUGGGAAAGGGGACGCCCGUAGUGACGAAGCCACAGAUAAUUAUCAGCCGACUCUGUCAGUGUACAGCUGUCUCUGUCUGUUUGUCCCCUUCUGUGUGUGUGUGUGUGUGUGUGUGUGUGCGUGUGCUGGCGGGGCACGGCCUCUGAUGAACUUCCAAUCAGAGACUGACACACCUGCUACUCAUCUGCUGCUGCUCACCUGCUCUCCAUCCACAAUCAUCACCUGGCAGUAAAUCUACCCGGCUCUUCUCACCAGUCUUCGCCAGAUCGUUCGUUUACGCAAGUGGUUAAUUCCUCCAACCUACACCUGCCUCCAAGUUACUCACCGGUUCUCCAGAAAUAUCUCACCACCGAUCCUCCACUGCUCCACCUCAGCUCGCUCCGCCUGCCUGCUCUCACCAUAUUUAACCAUAAUGUAUACUUAACCAAAACCAUGGUCUUUCUCUAACCAAACCACAAUCUUUUUCAUGCAUUAAUCAUAGUGCUUUGUAGUCUCAACCUAACCACACACAGGACACAGACCCCGAUCGCCGGUGUACACUUUGUACUCCCACCAACCACCUCAGUAUGAUCAGUGUGAUCCAACAAUGUAGCAUUUUGUGGACUGUUAAAAGAAACGUUGCCAGUGAACAUAAUCCACACAGCAAUUUCCUCCAAAACGUAUUAGGCUUAACGAUUUACUAGUAUUUAAAGGUAAUGUCUAGGAUUGGCAGCAACAAUCCAGACUUUUAAUUCAUGUUGAUGUGAUAGACUGCACCAACACUGAAAACCUGUGUAAAUACAGCUGAGCAAGUGAAAGUCAAGAUUCUGUCUAUAGCCAUCAGUAAUUGCCACCUGUAUCAUUUGAUGCAAUCAGGACCUCAAAGGUUUUAUGACAGCAGUUCAUAGUGCUGUGUUACGGCCAGUGCCAUAAUAUAUUGUGAAAAAAAUAGUGCUCAUUUGGGUUUCUGUAAAAGUUGCCCUCUUCCUGCAUUUUGUCAAAUGAUUGCCUGAAACCCAUAAAGAGAAUGAAUUUCCUGUGCCACACAGGAAAAUGCAUGUGCAAAUAUUUGAGAACUACCGUAAUAACUACUGAUACUUUAAAUCAAAGGUGAAAAUUGGAAAAAUACCUGCACUCCACAUCUGCCCCCCUGUGCAACAUUUCACCCCCUGCACAUUUUCAGCAUUUACGUAUUGGUGGUAAAAUUGUAAAAGGGGUAUUGUUGGACCAUAACGACCUUGGGUUGAAACUUAAACCAAAUAAAGCUUAGU